UAACUCUGUCCAAAGGUCUAGAGGAUUCUUUAUAGUCAGAUACUGAUCUUUGAGACUCUUAUUAAGAUGAUGUCUAAUAAUUAAUAUUGUCUUGUAUCAAUCUUUCUCAUUAUGCAUUAUCGUCUUUUGUGAUUCAUUCACCAAGUCCUUUGACCUUAGGAUAAACUCAGUAUCCAGUGCCCAUUUCAGAUAAUUAUCUCCUAAGAGAUUUAGGGCAGCAAAAUCCAAGUUGAUUUUCGACAUCUCAAAUCAUAUAUCAACAAAUUUUAGAUCUCAUAAAAUAUUUAACAUAC
rnacentral:lncRNA from 1 species